GUUCAUGGCUCAGGAUGAACGCUGGCGGCGUGCCUAACACAUGCAAGUCGAGCGAACUUCUUCGGAAGUGAGCGGCGGACGGGUGAGUAACGCGUGGGUAACCUGCCCUAUACACACGGAUAACGUACCGAAAGGUACGCUAAUACGAGAUAACAUAUUUUUAUCGCAUGGUAAGAAUAUCAAAGCUCUGGAGGUAUAGGAUGGACCCGCGUCUGAUUAGCUAGUUGGUAAGGUAACGGCUUACCAAGGCGACG
rnacentral:rRNA from 1 species